rnacentral:rRNA from 1 species
AACGAACGCUGGCGGCAUGCCUAACACAUGCAAGUCGAACGAGACCUUCGGGUCUAGUGGCGCACGGGUGCGUAACGCGUGGGAACCUGCCCUUAGGUUCGGAAUAACUCCCCGAAAGGGGUGCUAAUACCGGAUAAUGUCUUCGGACGAAAGAUUUAUCGCAUUUGGAUGGGCCCGCGUUGGAUUAGCUAGUUGGUAGGGUAAAAGCCUCCCAAGGCGACGAUCCAUAGCUGGUUUGAGAGGAUGAUCAGCCACACUGGGACUGAGACACGGCCCAGACUCCUACGGGAGGCGGCAGUGGGGAAUAUAGGACAGUGGGCGAAAGCCUGAUCCAGCAAUGCCGCGUGAGUGAUGAAGGCCUUAGGGUUGUAAAGCUCUUUUACCCGGGAUGAUAAUGACAGUACCGGGAGAAUAAGCUCCGGCUAACUCCGUG